AACGAACGCUGGCGGCAUGCCUAACACAUGCAAGUCGAACGAGACGUUCGGGUCUAUUGGCCCACGGGUGCGUAACGCGAGGGAACCUGCCCUUAGGGUCGGAAUAACUCCCCGAAAGGGGUGCUAAUACCGGAUAAUGUCUUCGGACCAAAGAUUUAUUGCCUUUGGAGGGUCCCGCGUUGGAUUAGCUAGUUGGUAGGGUAAAAGCAUACCAAGGGGACGAUCCAUAGAUGGGCUGUGAGGAUGAUCAGCCACACUGAGAGUGGGACACGGCCGAGACUCUUACGGGAGGCAGCAGUGCGGAAUAUUGGACCGCGGCCGAAAGCAUGAUGCACCAAUGCCGCGUGAGUGAUGAAGGCAUUAGGGUUGUAAAGCUCAUUUAACCGGGAUGAUAAUGACAGUACCGGGAGAAUAAGCCACGGCUAACUCCGUG
rnacentral:rRNA from 1 species